rnacentral:lncRNA from 1 species
GUAUGUCUGGUAGCACCAAGUAAAAGAAUUGCAAGUCAGGACCCAAAAGUGAAUAGAGAAUUAGUUAACUGCUGCAUGCAUUACGUAUGCCAUUAUACUUUUUAAAAAACUUUAUAUCGUACAGAUUGAUUGGAGGAAACUAGGGCAGGAGGACGAGUCCCUAUUAUUUACUGCAUCCAUUUAACUUUUUGACAACCCCGGCCUUGCACAAAUUGAAAUGGAGUAUUGAUAAUAGACAAUAUUGAAUUGCUUUCUCAUAAGAGUAUCCAAUCCAAUGCAAAAUAAUGGAUGGAUGGAUGAAUCCAAGUGAAUUCCAAGAGAAAGAUAGUACGUGCCUCAAUACUAGAUGACAAUUAAGUCCAAGGAAAUAUGAAAGAUAUCAUUCCCCUGCAAGUAAAGAGACAUUAACUUAGCAUUGAAAUUAUUACAAAUCAAUCCCAGGUUUCCUCGUGGUAACAGUUUCACAAUCGAUCUUUACGGAGCUGAAAAAUAUCUCACCAGAUAACUUAAACUCCCCAUGCAACACCAUUAUUAGGGCAGGGGCAAACCUCUCAGCAUCACUAGAAUUCACCCUUCGAGAUAUUAGAUCAUCAUAAAUAUCUGCGCCAUUAAUGUUAUAUCAGGUAACAUAUAAAAUUCUACUAGCAUCUACUUCAGUUACUGAUUAAAGGAGGAUAUAUAGCUUAUACCAUAUACCGAAAACAGACAAUUCAUGACGCCUGCAAUUUGACAGGCCAUAAGUGAGAAACACUUCCGAUUAUCAUAUUAGACAAGGAGAGCGAAACCAAGAAGAUAAGAAAGUAGUUAAGUAAUUAAGUUUGUUUAAAAAGAUAAAACAGAAUCUAUACCAAUGAAGAGAAUGAUGUAUAUACGCAAGUAUAUAUAUGAAUUUCAGUUGUUUCUUGAAGAACCCAUAUUAUGGCAAUGAAAAUGAUAAAUCCUGGAAGUUCAGUUGUACGAACCAAUAAUGUGAGCAGGAUAUCAAAUCUAGAAACAACCAAAACAUUAAUAUAAACAACAAUUUGUCAUAUAUAGAAAUUAAAUUACUGACCAACGCAAAGUCCUCGAUCGGAGUGUCCACUGUUUCAAAUAUAGAAGACAAAAAUAAGAUAGUGAUCAUAUCUGAGUCCUUCAUAACUUUGAUUCUCACCCAAUUUCAGAUUCUAGUAUUUUACGAAAUGCAGUUGAUGCACUGGUAAGUAUACAAAAUAUACAUAUCUUUCUUACAUUUUUAGCAACAAAAAGCAAAGCAAGCAGCAAAACAAUUAACCAGCAGCAAUUGUUGCAGUGAGAAGAUUUGUGGAUGCAAGAAUGAAAACCAUUCCCCAAAAUGAUGAACCAAGAUCUGGAUGCAGGAAGCAAUUACACACUCUCAGUGCCACUAAGAAUCAGUCAAUAUUGCUAAAUUAAAGACAUGGUCAAAAGAGGACAGCAGUACAGAUAAAUUUAUGAGACACUAAUAUUAAUUGUGAGAGAUUUCAUCUAUUCUGUAGCACACAGUAGCAGAUUGAAAUAAAGAUGCAAUAGAACGAGACAUGGAAUCAUCAAGAAAAUGUAUUACAUCCUGCAGGCAAGAUCAACCAAUAGGCAUGCACCGCCACCUGUUUGUGUCACCCCGCCCUCAUUUGCAUGCCUACCAAGUACCACCUGCAUACGGAAGUAGACCAGUAAACAUGUAUUAAUUACAGCAUAGAAAAGAGUAUUGCUCAGCAAUUACCAGGCAUGAUGCAGUCUUCCAGUUCCAAAUCCUUAUGAAGUUGAAAACCCAAUAAACAAAUGUAGACACAGCAAAUCCCUUGAAAACAUGAUGUUUAAAUGAGUUUAUCUUCAAGACCUUUCAUUCCUUUAGAAAACUUACAUUUCAAUCUGCAGUAGCUUAACUUAUAUCUUAAGCUAUAAUAAUACUACUGCAGUAAAACUUAAUCCAGUCAAUUCUUAGAGGCUCAAGGAUCAGAGCUUUUCUCUUGCAGAUUCACGAAAAAAGAACCUGCAGUUUGGUUAUUUUAGGUCAAUGAAUAACACCAAAAUCAGAUGAUCAUGAACUCAAAGCUGAGAUGAGUGCUAAAUCUAUUGGAUAAUAAUGUGAACUUUUAGUCAAAAAAUGGGUGCUGAAUAUCUGAUAACUAUGUUUUGGGGUGUGUUCCGCAUUCACUUUUACACAAUAUGUUCUCAGAUUCUCUUUAGCUAUUAAAACUAGGCAUGAUGUGUUUUGGUACGGUUACAAGAUAUAAUCGUAACAAAACUGUAUAGUGUGGUUAAUAUUAUAA